rnacentral:rRNA from 1 species
GAUGAACGCUGGCGGCGUGCCUAAUACAUGCAAGUCGAGCGAACAGAUGAGGAGCUUGCUCCUCUGACGUUAGCGGCGGACGGGUGAGUAACACGUGGAUAACCUACCUAUAAGACUGGGAUAACUUCGGGAAACCGGAGCUAAUACCGGAUAAUAUAUUGAACCGCAUGGUUCAAUAGUGAAAGACGGUUUUGCUGUCACUUAUAGAUGGAUCCGCGCCGCAUUAGCUAGUUGGUAAGGUAACGGCUUACCAAGGCAACGAUGCGUAGCCGACCUGAGAGGGUGAUCGGCCCCACUGGAACUGAGACACGGUCCAGACUCCUACGGGAGGCAGCAGUAGGGAAUCUUCCGCAAUGGGCGAAAGCCUGACGGAGCAACGCCGCGUGAGUGAUGAAGGUCUUCGGAUCGUAAAACUCUGUUAUUAGGGAAGAACAAAUGUGUAAGUAACUAUGCACGUCUUGACGGUACCUAAUAAGAAAGCCACGGCUAACUACGUG